rnacentral:rRNA from 1 species
UACGUAGGGGGCAAGCGUUAUCCGGAUUUACUGGGUGUAAAGGGGGCGCAGACGGCGAUGCAAGCCAGGAGUGAAAGCCCGGGGCUCAACCCCGGGACUGCUUUGGAAACUGUGUAGCUAGAGUGCUGGAGAGGCAAGCGGAAUUCCUAGUGUAGCGGUGAAAUGCGUAGAUAUUAGGAAGAACACCAGUGGCGAAGGCGGCUUGCUGGACGGUGACUGACGCUGAGGCUCGAAAGCGUGGGGAGCAAACAGG